AUUGAACGCUGGCGGCAGGCUUAACACAUGCAAGUCGAGCGGAGAUGAGGUGCUUGCACCUUAUCUUAGCGGCGGACGGGCGAGUAAUGCUUAGGAAUCUGCCUAUUAGUGGGGGACAACAUUCCGAAAGGAAUGCUAAUACCGCAUACGCCCUACGGGGGAAAGCAGGGGAUCUUCGGACCUUGCGCUAAUAGAUGAGCCUAAGUCGGAUUAGCUAGUUGGUGGGGUAAAGGCCUACCAAGGCGACGAUCUGUAGCGGGUCUGAGAGGAUGAACAGCCACCAUGGGACUGAGACACGGCCCAGACUCCUACGGGAGGCAGCAGUGGGGAAUAUUGGACAACGGGCGGAAGCCUGAUCCAGCCAUGCCGCGUGUGUGAAGAAGGCCUUUUGGUUGUAAAGCACUUUAAGCGAGGAGGAGGCUACCUGGAUUAAUACUCUAGGAUAGUGGACGUUACUCGCAGAAUAAGCACCGGCUAACUCUGUGCCAGCCGCCGCUGUAACAC
rnacentral:rRNA from 1 species